GCCACGGCUAACUACGUGCCAGCAGCCGCGGUAAUACGUAGGUGGCAAGCGUUAUCCGGAAUUAUUGGGCGUAAAGCGCGCGCAGGUGGUUUCUUAAGUCUGAUGUGAAAGCCCACGGCUCAACCGUGGAGGGUCAUUGGAAACUGGGAGACUUGAGUGCAGAAGAGGAAAGUGGAAUUCCAUGUGUAGCGGUGAAAUGCGUAGAGAUAUGGAGGAACACCAGUGGCGAAGGCGACUUUCUGGUCUGUAACUGACACUGAGGCGCGAAAGCGUGGGGAGCAAACAGGAUUAGAUACCCUGGUAGUCCACGCCGUAAACGAUGAGUGCUAAGUGUUAGAGGGUUUCCGCCCUUUAGUGCUGAAGUUAACGCAUUAAGCACUCCGCCUGGGGAGUACGGCCGCAAGGCUGAAACUCAAAGGAAUUGAC
rnacentral:rRNA from 1 species